UGCCCCAGCCCCUGUUUGGGACAGCAGCAGUGGCUGUGAGGACAGCUGGGACACAGGGGGGUUGUGCUGUGUGGGGAAAGAACCAGCUCAGAAAUGAAAAUCUUGACACAAGGGCUGGCUGUGGGACAUCAGGAGUGGCCAUGAGGACAGAGGGGUUGUGCUGUGUGAGAAGAGAACCAGCUCAGAAAUGAAAAUCUUGACACAAGGGCUGGCUGUGGGACAUCAGGAGUGGCCAUGAGGACAGAGGGGUUGUGCUGUGUGAGAAGAGAACCAGCUCAGAAAUGAAAAUCUUGACACAAGGGCUGGCUGUGGGACAUCAGGAGUGGCCAUGAGGACAGAGGGGUUGUGCUGUGUGAGAAGAGAACCAGCUCAGAAAUGAAAAUCUUGACACAAGGGCUGGCUGUGGGACAUCAGGAGUGGCCAUGAGGACAGAGGGGUUGUGCUGUGUGAGAAGAGAACCAGCUCAGAAAUGAAAAUCUUGACACAAGGGCUGGCUGUGGGACAUCAGGAGUGGCCAUGAGGACAGAGGGGUUGUGCUGUGUGAGAAGAGAACCAGCUCAGAAAUGAAAAUCUUGACACAAGGGCUGGCUGUGGGACAUCAGGAGUGGCCAUGAGGACAGAGGGGUUGUGCUGUGUGAGAAGAGAACCAGCUCAGAAAUGAAAAUCUUGACACAAGGGCUGGCUGUGGGACAUCAGGAGUGGCCAUGAGGACAGAGGGGUUGUGCUGUGUGAGAAGAGAACCAGCUCAGAAAUGAAAAUCUUGACACAAGGGCUGGCUGUGGGACAUCAGGAGUGGCCAUGAGGACAGAGGGGUUGUGCUGUGUGAGAAGAGAACCAGCUCAGAAAUGAAAAUCUUGACACAAGGGCUGGCUGUGGGACAUCAGGAGUGGCCAUGAGGACAGAGGGGUUGUGCUGUGUGAGAAGAGAACCAGCUCAGAAAUGAAAAUCUUGACACAAGGGCUGGCUGUGGGACAUCAGGAGUGGCCAUGAGGACAGAGGGGUUGUGCUGUGUGAGAAGAGAACCAGCUCAGAAAUGAAAAUCUUGACACAAGGGCUGGCUGUGGGACAUCAGGAGUGGCCAUGAGGACAGAGGGGUUGUGCUGUGUGAGAAGAGAACCAGCUCAGAAAUGAAAAUCUUGACACAAGGGCUGGCUGUGGGACAUCAGGAGUGGCCAUGAGGACAGAGGGGUUGUGCUGUGUGAGAAGAGAACCAGCUCAGAAAUGAAAAUCUUGACACAAGGGCUGGCUGUGGGACAUCAGGAGUGGCCAUGAGGACAGAGGGGUUGUGCUGUGUGAGAAGAGAACCAGCUCAGAAAUGCAGUUCUUGGCUCUGUGUCAGCUCAGCACCAGGAAAGCAGAGCCAGCAGCCACCAGUGUUUGGUGGCUUCUGUCCCACAGUAAGAGGUGCUGUAAGGAAUAAUUAAAAAGGCUCACAGAGAAGAUUUUAUUGUAAAGAACAGCCCUCAGUGCUGAAAGGCAGGAAGACACUCCAUGCUCUGAAAAGCUUGGAGUCCAGUUGAGGCAAUGAACAGACCUGAGGGGCUGAAGUGCCAAGAGAUAAGAGCCGGAGAAUGAGGGUGUGACUUCUCAGGUGCAGAAUUAUGCAGCUGCUUGGCUCUGAGGGGAGAAAACCUGGAGAAAUUUGCCUAGAAGUUGGUUUUCAAGUUCAUUUCCCAGUUAGAAACUUACAGAAUCAGGUACAGAAUCAGUCAGGUACAAAUCCUCACCUGCAUCUAAGAGGAGGAUCCCAUCACCACGAGGCU